GGGUGAAUUCCAGAGUGGCCAAAUGGGGCAGACUGUAAAUCAGCUGUCUUUCGACUACGGUGGUUCGAAUCCAUCUUCACCCA
rnacentral:tRNA from 1 species